CACAUCGUGUCUCCCCCCCCCACACACACACAGAUGGAGGUGCCCACAGACCUGGAGCUGCUGCCUGGGCACAUCUUCCAGCUGUCAGAGGCGCUGCGCCAGGAGAGGGAGAACCGCCGGGGGGCACGGAGUGUGGGGACAACUGCAGUGCCCCCCAUGCCCAGCUGCUUCUUCGACGUGUCGCGUGCCGAGGCCGAGCGGCUGCUGGAGCGCAACGCGGGCGGUGGGAACGUGGUGCUGCGACCCGGCGGGCACGGCCAAGGCUUCUCCAUCAGCACACGGCAGCGUUGCUCUGCUGAAGCACUACAGGGUGGUCAGCGUGGCGGACGGGUUCCUCGUCGACGUCGAUGCGCCGCAUCACUGCUCCUCGCUGGACGAGGUGGUGCAGUACUUCGUGGAGCAGAGCAGAGGCAGCCUGCAGCCCCUGCGCCGGGAGUACAGCAUGAGGCUGGGUGGGCGCCGGGGGGGGACAAGGGGGGGCUGCUGGGGCAGAG
rnacentral:lncRNA from 1 species